rnacentral:rRNA from 1 species
CCUACGGGACGCAGCAGUGAGGAAUAUUGGUCAAUGGCCGAGAGGCUGAACCAGCCAAGUCGCGUGAGGGAUGACGGCCCUACGGGUUGUAAACCUCUUUUGUCGGGGAGCAAGACCCGCCUCGUGCAGGCGGAGCGAGAGUACCCGAAGAAAAAGCAUCGGCUAACUCCGUGCCAGCAGCCGCGGUAAUACGUAGGGGGCAAGCGUUAUCCGGAUUUACUGGGUGUAAAGGGAGCGUAGACGGCCAGACAAGUCUGAAGUGAAAAUCCAGCGCUUAACGUUGGAAGUGCUUUGGAAACUGCCGG